rnacentral:rRNA from 1 species
GACGAACGCUGGCGGCGUGCUUAACACAUGCAAGUCGAGCGGUAAGGCCUUUCGGGGUACACGAGCGGCGAACGGGUGAGUAACACGUGGGUGAUCUGCCCUGCACUUCGGGAUAAGCCUGGGAAACUGGGUCUAAUACCGGAUAUGACCUCCUAUCGCAUGGUGGGUGGUGGAAAGAUUUAUCGGUGCAGGAUGGGCCCGCGGCCUAUCAGCUUGUUGGUGGGGUAAUGGCCUACCAAGGCGACGACGGGUAGCCGACCUGAGAGGGUGACCGGCCACACUGGGACUGAGACACGGCCCAGACUCCUACGGGAGGCAGCAGUGGGGAAUAUUGCACAAUGGGCGAAAGCCUGAUGCAGCGACGCCGCGUGAGGGAUGACGGCCUUCGGGGUGUAAACCUCUUUCAGCAGGGACGAAGCGCAAGUGACGGUACCUGCAGAAGAAGCACCGGCUAACUACGUG